rnacentral:lncRNA from 1 species
GUGUUUGUAGAACUAGAUAAAGAAGGUUGUUAGUAUCUGACCUCUUUCAGUUAAUCAGGAUUGGGAGUUAUAAUUGGCUUAGAGGAAAUUUUGUAUCCUGGUAACCUCAGGACAUCCUAGAUACACUAAAGCUUAUGGUUCAAGGAGAAACCGUUAUUAAAGAUAAAAGGAGUAUCUGAUUUGAAAUAGUUUCUACACCUAUCUACCCUCCAAAAGUUUUUCUUUUCUUUCUUCCUUUUCUUUCCUUUUUUCUUUGUUUCUCAUUUAAAGCAAUGAAUAAAUGAGAAAACAUAUCUUUGUUCUAACAGCCUAAUUCCAAAGACAUUCAUCCUAGUAGAAUGAGAAAGGUCCUGUGUAAGGCAUUGCAAUGCAGACCUGUAAAUCUGUAUCUCGCAUAGGUAUGAGACUCCACUGCCAGAGCCAAAACCAUCCUCAAGGAGUUUAAUGGAUGUGGUACCACAAGAGAAAUGUACGUCCACAUUGAAAGGUAAGAUGAAUUAUUUCAUCUAGUAGUAUUUUUCUGUUGAUUAAACUUUUGUUUACA